CCUACGGGGGCCUGCAGUGGGGGAUACUGCACAAUGGAGGAAACUCUGAUGCAGCAACGCCGCGUGAGGGAAGAAGGUCUUCGGAUUGUAUACCUCUGUCCUCAGGGACGAUAAUGACGGUCCCUCAGGAGGAAGCUCCGGCUAACUACGUGCCAGCAGCCGCGGUAAUACGUAGGGAGCAAGCGUUCUCCGGAUUUACUGGGUGUAAAGGGUGCGUAGGCGGCCCUGCAAGCCAGGUGUGAAAACGAUGGGCUUAACUCAUGGAUUGCACUUGAAACUGUGCGGCUUGAGUGAAGUAGAGGCAGGCGGAAUUGCGGGUGUAGCGGUGAAAUGCGUAGAGAUCGGGAAGGACACCAGUGGCGAAGUCGGCAUGCUGGGCUUUAACUGACGCUGAGUCACGAAAGCGUUGGUAUCAAACAGGAUUAGAUAGCCUUGUAGUC
rnacentral:rRNA from 1 species